rnacentral:rRNA from 1 species
CCCGUCCCAUUACGAGGACCUGUAAUUGGAUGAGUACACUUUAAAUCCUUUAACAAGGACCUAUUGGAGGGCAAGUUCUGGUGCCAGCAGCCGCGGUAACUCCAGCUCCAAUAGCGUAUAUUAAUGUUGUUGCGGUUAAAACGUUCGUAGUUGAACUUGUGCUUCAUACGGGUAGUACAACUAUAAUUUUAGAUUGUGCUAUACCUUAUGUAUGUAAGCGUAUUACCGGUGGGGUUCUUAUAUGCAAAUGUAAUACUUGUAUUCUUUUGUAUAUUCCUCCUAUUUAAACCUGCCUCAAUGCUCUUCAUCGGGUGUUGUUGCGGGCCGGUACAAUUACUUUGAACAAAUUAGAGUGCUUAAAGCAGGCUCCAAAUGCCUGAAUAUUUUGUGCAUGGAAUAAUGGAAUAAGACCUCUGUUCUACUUUCAUUGGUUUUUAGAUCAAGAGGUAAUGAUUAAUAGAAGCAGUUUGGGGGCAUUAGUAUUACGACGCGAGAGGUGAAAUUCUUGGACCGUCGUAAGACUAACUUAAGCGAAAGCAUUUGCCAAAGAUGUUUUCAUUAAUCAAGAACGAAAGUUAGGGGAUCGAAGA